ACCCUAUAUCCCUCCCGAUAGCAAAUAUAGGGGAGAAAAACGAAAAAACGGCGUCCAGCAGGUCCCCUACCGCCCUCCCGAAACAUAGGCGCCCCCGACGCAGACCCUCCCUCUCCCCUACACUUCGGGGCAGUGGAGGCGCCCCCGAUCCGUCGCCCCGAGCAACCGCUCGCUCUCGGAAGCCUCCUCCCGCCACCACGCUCCUGACCAGAAAUCUUUUGAUGGCGGACCAAUCAUAUUGUGAUCUUUUGAACGGGGGUGUUUCUUUGAAUGAUGUUGGUUUUAGUUGGGGAGAGACACAGCCUGUGAAUCAACCUGCCCCUCCUGUGAAAGCAAGCACGAAGAAAGGAAACAAAUUAAGCGUGAAGAAAGGAAAAAAUUAAGCGUGAAAGAAAGUUAGACUGAAGACUGUUGCACAAGACAGUGAAAUAAUGAGCAUGGACAUUACUGGUAUGGAUGAGCAACAACAACAAUACUACAAGCUUUUGCGGAGUCAGAUCAUUGCUCGGAACUCAUCUAUCUGAGCUUCACAAGUUGCGCUGAAUAGUUGGGCUGUUAAGAUUAAUGUGUUGUAUGAACUAUUUCUGGUGGUCUUUAUGUGUUGUAUGAACUAUCUCAGAUCAUUGCUUGGUACUACUCUUUAUUUUGUCACAGUUAUGAAAUAUAGUCAUUUGAAUU